rnacentral:rRNA from 1 species
GACGAACGCUGGCGGCAUGCCUAAUACAUGCAAGUCGAGCGGAGUUGACGAGAAGCUUGCUUCUCUGAUACUUAGCGGCGGACGGGUGAGUAACACGUAGGCAACCUGCCUUUCAGUUUGGGAUAACUUCCGGAAACGUAUGCUAAUACGGAAUACAUCAUCUUCUGGCAUCAGAGAAUGAGGAAAGACGGCGCAAGAUGUCAUUGAGAGAUGGGCCUGCGGCGCAUUAGCUAGUUGGUGGGGUAAUGGCUCACCAAGGCGACGAUGCGUAGCCGACCUGAGAGGGUGAACGGCCACACUGGGACUGAGACACGGCCCAGACUCCUACGGGAGGCAGCAGUAGGGAAUCUUCCACAAUGGGCGAAGGCCUGAUGGAGCAAUGCCGCGUGAGUGAUGAAGGUUUUCGGAUCGUAAAGCUCUGUUGCCAGGGAAGAACGUCCGGGUGAGUAACUGCACCCGGAGUGACGGUACCUGAGAAGAAAGCCCCGGCUAACUACGUGCCAGCCGCCGCAGUAA